rnacentral:rRNA from 1 species
AUACGAAGGGGGCUAGCGUUGUUCGGAAUUACUGGGCGUAAAGCGCGCGUAGGCGGAUUGGUCAGUUAGGGGUGAAAUCCCAGGGCUUAACCCUGGAACUGCCUCUAAUACUGCCAGUCUUGAGUUCGGGAGAGGUGAGUGGAAUUCCUAGUGUAGAGGUGAAAUUCGUAGAUAUUAGGAAGAACACCAGUGGCGAAGGCGGCUCACUGGCCCGAUACUGACGCUGAGGCGCGAAAGCGUGGGGAGCAAACAGGAUUAGAAACCCUAGUAGUCA